rnacentral:rRNA from 1 species
UACGUAGGGGGCUAGCGUUGUCCGGAAUCAUUGGGCGUAAAGCGCGCGUAGGCGGCCCGGUAAGUCCGCUGUGAAAGUCAAAGGCUCAACCUUUGAAUGUCAGCGGAUACUGCCGGGCUAGAGUUCGGAAGAGGCGAGUGGAAUUCCUGGUGUAGCGGUGGAAUGCGCAGAUAUCAGGAGGAACACCGGUGGCGAAGGCGGGUCUCUGGGCAGUAACUGACGCUGAGGAGCGAAAGCGUGGGGAGCGAACAGG